UAUAUAUAUAUAUAUAUAUAUGUGGAUGAUAAUUCUGUUGUAAUGCUGUUGGUUUUAUUUAGCAUGCUUUUGCAGCCUAAAUUGCUUCUCAAGUGUAUUUAUUAAAUUCGAUACAUGUCAAGGUGCAAUCACAUGAUCGAUCUUUUGUUGAUUUGUGUUAUAUUACUACAAUUUCUUGCUUGCCUACAUUUUGCAGGGCCACAGGCAAAGGGUAUUUUGGUGGUCCAUAUCAUCCUUCCCUCUACUAAUUUCAGGCUAUGUUUUAAAGGUGUUAGGUAUUUCUUUUUCUAAACCACUUUACACUUUGAGCUAUAUGUGCAUUACUGCAGGAGCAUCAGGAUUCCUCUUAACCAUCAUCUUUUACAUACGGAUGGGAAUGAAUGCUCUCAUUAUUUAUGCUUUGGGUGCUUGUGACCUCUUUCCGGCAGCUUUGUAAGGUUUCUAUUGGCAUUCACCAGAAAACAAUCUUUUAAUCAUAUUUUGGAGCAGUGUGGCAGGUCUAUAAAUCUCCUUUGUUAGAAAAAUAUUCUUCAGUGCUUAGUGCAAUGACUGAGAUGAGUUUCUUCAUUUAUUUAUUGGUUGUUGUCCCUUGUUAUUUGUUUAUUUUUUAAAUUAAUUCCUUGCCAUCUAUGCUCAUGGGGCCACCUUUUUUUUUUGGGAGGGAGGGGGGGGGCGCACUGCAGAGGAAUGUUUGCAGUCAAAGAUGUUAUUGGUGACCUUCAUAUUAAUAUUCUUUGGUUGUCUUUGUACCCAAGAAAAAGGAAAAAAAAAAUUUUAAUUGUUGUCACAUGUUGGGUGCAUUCUUCUCUUUUCCCUAAAUUUUCGUGCCUCCUCAUUUUCAUCUCCUUCAUUAAAACAGCUAUUUCUUAUCUUUCUCUGCUGGCAAAAAAAAUAAUUUUAUUCUGUACCAGAAAAGAAAAGGAAAGAAAAAAUAAAAUCAUUUGUCAGUUUGAUCUAUUGCUCUUGUGGGUCUGCGUAACUGAUUAGAAAUUUCAGUCACCAGCUUGAUUUAUUGCUCACGGGGAAGCACAGAUGAUAUCUAAUAAUGUGUAAUAACUCUUUGUUCCUUGUUUUGUUGCCUUUUUUAAGACCAUUUCGACUGGGUAGUUGGUUCUUA